AUCUUGUACCAUUGCCCCGGAAGGCUGUACUUCACCUCUUUAAGACAACAUGGAAUAUCCCAAUGCCAUUAACCUUAAGAAACGAUCAGUGAAAACAGGUUAAUGUGGUUAAAGACAGAACUUCCAAAGAUGGACUACCAGUGAUAAAUGAGGAGAAAAUGAAGAUUUAAACCCCCAUGGAUUAAUGAAAGGUACGUCUCAGCAUGGAAGUUUAGAUUAUGCCCAACAAGACAUCUAACUGCUACAUGGACAAAUACAGACACCAAGACAUGAAAACAAACAAAAAGAUGAAAGGCAACAAAAACUGAUCACAGAUCUGUCCCACAUGACUUGCAUUCCCAUGGAUCCCCACAAGAUGAUUAAAAGCAAGCCUUCCAUCAGGCUGGGCUGUGUUCAAUGCAUCUUUUGUGGC